rnacentral:rRNA from 1 species
ACAUCAGUCGCCACGGGAAUACAGAGGGUGCAAGCGUUAAUCGGAAUUACUGGGCGUAAAGCGCGCGUAGGUGGUUUGUUAAGUUGGAUGUGAAAUCCCCGGGCUCAACCUGGGAACUGCAUCCAAAACUGGCAAGCUAGAGUAUGGUAGAGGGUGGUGGAAUUUCCUGUGUAGCGGUGAAAUGCGUAGAUAUAGGAAGGAACACCAGUGGCGAAGGCGACCACCUGGACUGAUACUGACACUGAGGUGCGAAAGCGUGGGGAGCAAACAGGAUUAGAUACCCGAGUAGUCCCUGUCUCUUAUAC